rnacentral:pre_miRNA from 1 species
UCUUAUGAAUGACCAAAGAAGGUGGUUCCUUGAGAUGGAAUCUACUCUUGGUGAAGAUACUAUUAA